UGGCUCUCGCAUCGAUGAAGAACGCAGCGAAAUGCGAUAAGUAAUGUGAAUUGCAGAAUUCAGUGAAUCAUCGAAUCUUUGAACGCACCUUGCGCUCCUUGGUAUUCCGAGGAGCAUGCCUGUUUGAGUGUCAUUAAAUUCUCAACCCUGCCUGGCUUUGCAGCCGUGGAUUUGGGCUUGGAUGUGAGGGGUUUUGCCGGCUCCCUGAGAGUCGGCCCCCUUGAAAUGCAUUAGUGGUACCUCUGUGGUGUUGCGACUGUUAGGUGUGAUAACUAUCUACGCCUUCCUGGUCCGCCACGCAUCUCUCUUGAGGGAGGCUACACCGCUUCUAACCGUCCGCAGCCGUGGACAGCACAUGACAAUUUUGACCUCAAAUCAGGUAGGACUACCCGCUGA
rnacentral:misc_RNA from 1 species